rnacentral:rRNA from 1 species
GGGGAGCAAACAGGAUUAGAUUCCCUGCUAGUCCUAGCUGUAACCGAUGGAUCCUAGACGUAGGAAACGGAUCGCCGCUGUAUGUGUCGUAGGUCACGCGCCAACUAUCCCGCCGGGGGAGUACGCUCUCAAGAGUAUACCUCAAAGGAACAGGCGGGCCCCCGCACAAGCGGCGGAGCAUGCGCAUUAAUUCGAUGAUACAUCGUAGAACCUUUCCUGGGCUUGACAUAUAGGGUCUAGCUAUAGAGAUAUAGUGUGCAUUAGCGCCGUCUACACGUGGAGCAUGGCGGUUGUCACCUCGAGUCGUGAGAUUUUGGGCUCAGUCUCGCAUCGUGCGCUACGCCCAUGAUAUCUGGGCAGCAUUUUGCUGUUGGCUCAUAGGAGUCUCCUGCUGAUAAGUCGGAGGAAGGUGGGGAGGGCGUCAAGUCCUCAGGUGCUUUAUGUGCAGUGUUGCCAUCUUGCUACAACGGCAAGAACACCGUGUCGCAAUACCGCGAGGUGGUGCAACUGUUUUCAAGCUUGCAUCAGAUCUGAUAGGCGUGUGCUACUCGCCUCCUUGCAGUUGGAGUCGCUGGUAAUCUCAAAUCAACAAAUCUGCGGAGAAUUCGUUCUUGGGGUU